AUUAAACAAUAAGAGUCCAACACUGAACCUUGGGGGACACCACUAACAACCUCUGACCAUUCAGAGUAUGAAUCCUUGAUCACCACUCUCUCAAUACGGUCUUUACA